UACAGAGGAGCCAAGCGUUGUCCGGAUUGAUUGGGCGUAAAGCGUCCGCAGGUGGCUGUGUAAGUCUGCUGUCAAAGAGCGAAGCUCAACUUCGUAAAGGCAGUGGAAACUACACGGCUAGAGUGCGUUCGGGGCAGAGGGAAUUCCUGGUGUAGCGGUGAAAUGCGUAGAGAUCAGGAAGAACACCGGUGGCGAAGGCGCUCUGCUAGGCCGCAACUGACACUGAGGGACGAAAGCUAGGGGAGCGAAUGGG
rnacentral:rRNA from 1 species